rnacentral:rRNA from 1 species
AACGAACGCUGGCGGCAUGCCUAACACAUGCAAGUCGAACGAAGCCUUCGGGCUUAGUGGCGCACGGGUGCGUAACACGUGGGAAUCUGCCCUUCGGUUCGGAAUAACAGUUAGAAAUGACUGCUAAUACCGGAUGAUGACGUAAGUCCAAAGAUUUAUCGCCGAAGGAUGAGCCCGCGUAGGAUUAGGGUAGUUGGUAGGGUAAUGGCCUACCAAGCCGACGAUCCUUAGCUGGUCUGAGAGGAUGAUCAGCCACACUGGGACUGAGACACGGCCCAGACUCCUACGGGAGGCAGCAGUGGGGAAUAUUGGACAAUGGGCGAAAGCCUGAUCCAGCAAUGCCGCGUGAGUGAUGAAGGCCUUAGGGUUGUAAAGCUCUUUUACCAGGGAUGAUAAUGACAGUACCUGGAGAAUAAGCUCCGGCUAACUCCGUGCCAGCAGCCGCGGUAAAGUACAGUGU